rnacentral:rRNA from 1 species
AUUGAACGCUGGCGGCAGGCCUAACACAUGCAAGUCGAACGGCAGCGGGGGAUAGCUUGCUAUCCUGCCGGCGAGUGGCGGACGGGUGAGUAAUGCAUGGGGAGCUGCCCAGUCGAGGGGGAUAACAACUGGAAACGGUUGCUAAUACCGCAUACGCCCUUUGGGGGAAAGGUGGGGAACUUCGGUCCUACCGCGAUUGGAUGCGCCCAUGUGGGAUUAGCUAGUUGGUGAGGUAACGGCUCACCAAGGCGACGAUCUCUAGCUGGUCUGAGAGGAUGACCAGCCACACUGGAACUGAGACACGGUCCAGACUCCUACGGGAGGCAGCAGUGGGGAAUAUUGCACAAUGGGGGAAACCCUGAUGCAGCCAUGCCGCGUGUGUGAAGAAGGCCUUCGGGUUGUAAAGCACUUUCAGUCAGGAGGAAGGGGUGAUGGCUAAUAUCCAUCAUCAUUGACGUUACUGACAGAAGAAGCACCGGCUAACUCCGUGCCAGCAGCCGCCGCGG